UACGUAGGGGGCAAGCGUUGUCCGGAAUCAUUGGGCGUAAAGCGCGUGUAGGCGGCUCGGUAAGUCCGCUGUGAAAGUCAAAGGCUCAACCUUUGAAAGCCGGUGGAUACUGUGGGGCUAGAGUACGGAAGAGGCGAGUGGAAUUCCUGGUGUAGCGGUGGAAUGCGCAGAUAUCAGGAGGAACACCAAUAGCGAAGGCAGCUCGCUGGGACGUUACUGACACUGAGGCGCGAAAGCGUGGGGAGCGAACAGG
rnacentral:rRNA from 1 species